AAAAAAAACCAACCUUUUUGCUUCUAAAGGAACAAAUUUCAGUUACUUCCCCAAGUAGUCCCUAAAGGAGAAAAGAGCUAAAAAAUUAUGUUUUAACCAGUGUGCUCCCAUUAGGACACUAUGAAUGGUAUCUCCAAGACAACUGAGUUGAGACACCAGAAUCACCUGGUAAAACAAGAAUGCAUUUUCCUCCCUACUUACGACUUGUUUUACAGUAGCUUCCAAACCAGACUCAAGAUAAAUGCAUAUAUGCAUGGUUUUGUCUCCCCAUCUCUGUCUCCCUCGAAAAUAAGACUCCAGCUCCCAGAAAUCUUUGGAUAAAGUAAAAUGUCUACAAUAAUAACUUGCUUAUCAAAAGUGAACUGUAUGUGCUUCAUUAAGAAUACGAACCAAAGCCAGGCCUCUAAAGGAUUGCUGUAUUCCCAGUGCUGCAUAAAAUGAAAUUCAGGUCACUGAUUAUCCAUCUCUGAUGUACUGAUCAGAGUCCUCAUUUGAUACCAAGUAUAGUAUUUGUAUCCUCUAGAUGGUAUUCCAUAACAUACACAAUUACCCAUCCACAGUAGAAUAAAAAAGUUAAUCUUCAAGGCACUACGUAGGCUUUAUCGCCUUUUCUUGGUGAGCAUGUCAGGAAUGAGAUCCUCUCUUGGAAGACCCUGAAACUCCCGUAUUCUUACUGCAGAUAAGGCAGAAGAGUUUACCCCUUCAAAAAUGUAACCAAACAGCUCAAUAUGACAACAUUAAAAUGGUGGGAUCCAAGAGGAGAGUGUUGAAGCUGGAUGUUGAUGAUCAGGACAACAAAUUUCCAGGCCUGCUCCCAAAAGAAUGUCAUGAUGGUGGGAACCAAAACUGGCGUAGUUGUUGGGUGGUAUCCAGUCCUGCUAUCACUGUUAAGCCCUAAGGAAAGCUAUAUAUCAGUUCUCACAGCCAACAAGCCUUCUCUCGGGAAUCUCUUGGAUCACAAGUCCCAAGAACAAGAUACAGGACUCUCUUUGAGGAAACCCCAAUUUUGUCCACAAACAGGAGGUUCUACUAGGAACAAUAAUAGUUCUGCUGAAAGAUUCAGAAGAAAAAUACACUCACGGCUCUCAAUAUCAUAUUAUAGACAUCAUAAGCACUGUAAUUGAUACUUGGUUUAUGGUUUACUCUUGUCCUGCUUUGGCUUCUAUGGAACUGUGUUCAGUAAAAUUUUGACUUCAUGUACAGUUAGAAUCCAUUCUCACCAACAGGAAAACCUAAUAUGCUUAAGAAAAUUGUUCUUCGAAUAUAUAAAAAAUAAAGUCAGAUGUAUCAAAGCCCUCAGUUUUUAUAAUUCUGUAGCAUUCAUAAAAAAGUAUUUUAAAAUUGGUAUCUGGUGGACACAUAGCAUUCAUGCUGCAAAAUAAACCCAGAACAUUUAAGAAGUAUCUCCAAAAUUAAUUCUCUUGUGUGAUGAUUUCAUUGAAAUGCAUUUCAAGUUUUAGAACAUUAUUGAAGGAACAGCCUCUUUUUCACUAGUGCUGUCCAUGUUUGGAGGACCCUAACAGUUCAAAAGCUUUUCUUAACUAGUUUCUGAUUUUUAAUUGUCCAUUAUGUUUGUAGAGCAUUUAUUUAAAACAGUAUCUUCAUGUUUUCUCUAAGUAUAAGGGGACUAGAGGCCUACACUAAAAUAAUCAGUGACGUGGAAAGAACUGUAAGUUCUUCAGCAUCAUUACUGUACCAGGCUAGCAUUGAUAAGAAGUUAGUGGCAUUGAUAAGAAGCUAAACAAGUGCACAAAACCAGGCAAAACAGGAGCCUCUGGACCCAAAAGAUACAACAGUAUUAAAUUUGAAAAAUCCAGUACUUUUCAUUCUGUAGGACUUCUAGCAAGACAAAUGUUAUUGCAAAAGCUUCCCAGAUAAUAUAUACAUCUAUAGAGAUAUAUUUUUAUAAACGCAAGUGAUCUAGUAAUUUAGCAACAAAGUAGACAGGGAUCAUAAAAGGGUUCUAGAUCUGUGUGCACCACUGUAAAGGCUGACAAACUACUCUGCCUUUCUGCUAAGAAGCAAUUCAAUUGUGGGGUUUUGGGGUUUGGGGUUUUUUGGGUUUCUUUUUUUUUUUCCCCAUAUAAUCACUUGUACAGUGCAUACAGUUCUCAUGCAGAAUAUGACUAUAAACCAACUACUGAUGGUAAGUCAUUAUUAUGUUAUAAAGAUAAUUGGAUGUCUAGGAAAAAAACCAAAACAAAAACCCCUCAACUUACAGUAACCAUUCAUCUAAAAUUAAAUCCUGAUCCAGUGUUACCAUGCCAAGAUUUAAGGAUCCAUUUUAGAAAAAAAAUCUGACUGGCAGAACAUUAAAAAUUUGAAAGAAAAUUUGAAGGUAUUUCAGCUUGUAAAAACUUAACCAUGGCUUUCUUUUUACCUCCUCUAAAUGAUUUGAGACUUAAUUAUUAACACAUUCAAAACAGCAACUCUAGCGUAACAAAAUAUUGAAUUCAGAAAAUAAAGAAACACAUAAGAAAACUCUGAAUAAGAACUUGUAGCAACAGGGAAUCCUGUCAUUAUGAUCAUCAUAAUCUCCAUCCUGAACAACUCCACAGAUAAUAAUAAAUUGUGCUAAAAUAAUUUUCCAGACAACAGUUUCCCUCCACACAUCUCGUAAGUAUGUAUGCCACUGCAUGUGCCUUUUCAUUUCAAGAUCCUUUAUAUGUCAAAUGACCAACACAAAGGCUGUCAGUCUCUCACAUGACACUGCAUGUAUGCUAAUUUAAAUGAAAUGCCAGCCUACCAAAACCAAAUAAGUAUAAUAAAAACAAACAAACAAAGCCAAAACAAAACAAAACAAAGUACUAACCUGAACUUGACAAAGCACCUGUUAGCUGCAACGGAACUACUUCCCAAAUGAAGACUCUUCCUUGCAAAUAAGUGAGCUUUCUUCAGAUCAUUAUUCUGUGGCACAGGCUCCUCCAAAUGGCAGAAUGAACGUAUUGCCAUUAUUGAAAAUUUCCAGUUUAUCUGAAGAAAUUGAACUGAAAGCAAGAAAUACAGUGGCUUUGUUUUUGUAAACUCACUGAAAAGGCUAUACUUAGUUUUCAAG
rnacentral:lncRNA from 1 species